rnacentral:rRNA from 1 species
UACGAAGGGGGCUAGCGUUGUUCGGAAUUACUGGGCGUAAAGCGCACGCAGGCGGAUUGAUAAGUCAGGGGUGAAAUCCCGGGGCUCAACCUCGGAAUUGCCUUUGAUACUGCCAGUCUUGAGUCCGGGAGAGGUGAGUGGAAUUCCUAGUGUAGAGGUGACAUUCGUAGAUAUUAGGACGAACACCAGUGGCGAAGGCGGCUCACUGGCCCGGUACUGACGCUCAGGUGCGAAAGCGUGGGGAGCAAUCUGG